GGGGAAUAUUGCACAAUGGGCGCAAGCCUGAUGCAGCAACGCCGCGUGCGGGAUGACGGCCUUCGGGUUGUAAACCGCUUUCAGCAGGGACGAAGCUUUUUGUGACGGUACCUGCAGAAGAAGCACCGGCUAACUACGUGCCAGCAGCCGCGGUGAUACGUAGGGUGCGAGCGUUGUCCGGAUUUAUUGGGCGUAAAGGGCUCGUAGGCGGUUGAUCGCGUCGGAAGUGGAAACUUGAUGCUUAACGUUGAGCGUGCUUUCGAUACGGGUUGACUUGAGGAAGGUAGGGGAGAAUGGAAUUCCUGGUGGAGCGGUGGAAUGCGCAGAUAUCAGGAGGAACACCAGUGGCGAAGGCGGUUCUCUGGACCUUUCCUGACGCUGAGGAGCGAAAGCGUGGGGAGCGAACAGGCUUAGAUACUCUGGUAGUCCACGCUGUAAACGGUGGGUACUAGGUGUGGGGUCCAUUCCACGGAUUCUGUGCCGUAGCUAACGCAUUAAGUACCCCGCCUGGGGAGUACGGCCGCAAGGCUA
rnacentral:rRNA from 1 species